GUUGAAAAAUUAGCGGAUGACUUGUGGCUGGGGGUGAAAGGCCAAUCAAACCGGGAGAUAGCUGGUUCUCCCCGAAAGCUAUUUAGGUAGCGCCUCGUGAAUUCAUCUCCGGGGGUAGAGCACUGUUUCGGCAAGGGGGUCAUCCCGACUUACCAACCCGAUGCAAACUGCGAAUACCGGAGAAUGUUAUCACGGGAGACACACGGCGGGUGCUAACGUCCGUCGUGAAGAGGGAAACAACCCAGACCGCCAGCUAAGGUCCCAAAGUCAUGGUUAAGUGGGAAACGAUGUGGGAAGGCCCAGACAGCCAGGAUGUUGGCUUAGAAGCAGCCAUCAUUUAAAGAAAGCGUAAUAGCUCACUGGUCGAGUCGGCCUGCGCGGAAGAUGUAACGGGGCUAAACCAUGCACCGAAGCUGCGGCAGCGACGCUGAUGCGUUGUUGGGUAGGGGAGCGUUCUGUAAGCCUGUGAAGGUGUGCUGUGAGGCAUGCUGGAGGUAUCAGAAGUGCGAAUGCUGACAUAAGUAACGAUAAAGCGGGUGAAAAGCCCGCUCGCCGGAAGACCAAGGGUUCCUGUCCAACGUUAAUCGGGGCAGGGUGAGUCGACCCCUAAGGCGAGGCCGAAAGGCGUAGUCGAUGGGAAACAGGUUAAUAUUCCUGUACUUG
rnacentral:rRNA from 1 species